UGCCCCAUAGAGGGUGUGAGUGGGGAGCCAGGGCUGCCCCAUAGAGGAUGGAGUGGGGACCAGGGCUGCCCUCUGCUCUCAGUCCAGACCUGUUCAUCUGGCCAAGCUGAAGGUGCAAGCAAGUCACCUGGAGAAACAUCCAAAUGGGUGGAGUGGAAUGUAGACCCAACAGGCACAAUGACACCAAGCCUGUCCAUCAGCUUUCCAGCCUAUGACAAGUACUUGGGAGAAAUCAGCUUAAAGAGAAGAAAGAGUACGGCUUCUCCUGGGAAGACAUAAAGACACAGCUAUUCACUGCAAAUAGAGAGGGCACUGGCAGGGAAGGGCUCCAUUCCAUCUUGGUGACCACAGCUUCUGAUUCAAGAUGGUAAAACCCAUGUCUUUCAUGGAGAAAAGAAAUACACAAGAACUCUGAGACCAAACUCAAGGCCCUGCCAUUCUGAUCACCCAAGCCCUUGAGUUUUCACAUCCCAAGUCUGAACAGACAAAAUGGUGGUUGAGUCUUCAUGUGACCCAGAUCCAGAAUCUGGUCUUGGCUCUGUCACAGCCCUGGGCAAAUUUCUCUGCUCUGAGCCUCAGUUUACCAGCAGAGAGCAAGAAUAAAACACAUGACCUAAAAUUUA